rnacentral:rRNA from 1 species
UACACUCCUACGGGAGCAGCAGUGGGGAAUUUUGGACAAUGGGCGAAAGCCUGAUCCAGCAAUGCCGCGUGAGUGAAGAAGGCCUUCGGGUUGUAAAGCUCUUUUGUCAGGGAAGAAACGGUGAAAGCUAAUAUCUUUUGCUAAUGACGGUACCUGAAGAAUAAGCACCGGCUAACUACGUGCCAGCAGCCGCGGUAAUACGUAGGGUGCAAGCGUUAAUCGGAAUUACUGGGCGUAAAGCGUGCGCAGGCGGUUUUGUAAGUCUGAUGUGAAAUCCCCGGGCUCAACCUGGGAAUUGCAUUGGAGACUGCAAGGCUAGAAUCUGGCAGAGGGGGGUAGAAUUCCACGUGUAGCAGUGAAAUGCGUAGAUAUGUGGAGGAACACCGAUGGCGAAGGCAGCCCCCUGGGUCAAGAUUGACGCUCAUGCACGAAAGCGUGGGGAGCAAACAGGAUUAGAAACCCGAGUAGUCCCAUGA